UGGCUCAGACAGUAAAAGCAUCUGCCUGCAAUGCAGGAGACCCGGGUUCAAUCCCUGG
rfam:Ovis aries breed Texel chromosome 1, whole genome shotgun sequence.